UACGUAGGGUGCGAGCGUUUGUCCGGAAUUACUGGGCGUAAAGAGCUCGUAGGUGGUUUGUCGCGUUGUUCGUGAAAUCUCACGGCUUAACUGUGAGCGUGCGGGCGAUACGGGCAGACUUGAGUACUGCAGGGGGAGACUGGAAUUCCUGGUGUAGCGGUGGAAUGCGCAGAUAUCAGGAGGAACACCGGUGGCGAAGGCGGGUCUCUGGGCAGUAACUGACGCUGAGGAGCGAAAGCGUGGGGAGCAAACAGG
rnacentral:rRNA from 1 species